rnacentral:lncRNA from 1 species
AUGGAAACCGCUCAGGAGCAGGGAGCUGGGAGCUAUGAGUGCUGACUGCGUGAACUCGGCCUCCACUUCCCGGACCUGCCACUUAUCAUGAUCCACGAGCUGUACUCAUGACUCCGCACAAGCAAGCAGGGGCUGACGGUCGGAUCCCUCGCCCCCAUUUUACGGACAGAAGUACCGAGGCUCAAAGAGAGCCAGUGAGAUGCUGAAAUCACGCGUGAUUGGAAUCCAGCCUUGCUAGGGCUGCGGGUGUUACGGGCCGUGGGCGGCGGUUAAGAGCGUGGGUUCUAUUUUUAGUUUUGCCACUUACUAGCUGUGUGACCUUGGACAAGUUACCUAACCUCUCUGAGCCUCAGCUUUCUAACCUGUAAUAUUAAAUAAUAAAGCCAGGCGUGGUGGCACGCGACUGUAGUCCCAGCUAGUCGGGAGGCUGAGGCGAGAGGAUGGCUUGCUCCCAGGUGUUCGAGACCAACCUGGGCAACAUAACGAGGCCACGUCUCUUAAAAAAAAAAAAAAAAAAAAAAAAAAAAAAAAGCCGGGCACGGCGGCUCACGCCUGUAAUCCCAGCACUUUCGGAUAAACUAUAUAUAUAUAUAAUCUGACAUCCCCACCAGACCCUGAGCUUCUUAUUCAUCUAUUUCCCCCCGAGCUCUGCACAUGUCUGAUGAGGAGGCACACAACAGAUGUUCAUUGAUUGUAGGAUUCUCACUCUGAGUCUUGGUGACCCCAGCUAAAACCGGUGGGGCUUGUGUGAUGAGUCAGUGACACAAUACUGGGAAACGUUUGGAGAACCAGCAAUCUGCUGCUGUCCAAACAGUAGCAUUACUGUGUUUACCUGUCGUUGCCUGAGCACCGCUCAAAGUCCCUGUGUUCUUUAUCAGCUCAUGUUUAAGCUCCUCUCUUAAUUAUCUGCAAUGUGAUGAUGUUCACAGGAAUUCCAUCUGAGACAAACUGUCCCACCUUAAGUCUGCCUCUUACAGCAACUCAGCACUCUGGUUUGGUAGCUCUUACAAUAUUGCAUUUUCACGUGGGGCUGCUUAAAAAAGUCCCCUCCAGCUCUGUGGGUCUAUGACAGGCAAAAGAGAAACAAAGAUUUUGAAGAAGGGCUUUACCAGUAGGAAACCCUGGUCAUCAUCUACUAUCAGAAAAGACCCAAAGUCUCCAAA